GGGAACAUACCCUUUUCUACGGAAUAGCUCUGGGAAACUGGAAUUAAUACCGUAUACGCCCUACGGGGGAAAGAUUUAUCGGGGAAGGAUUGGCCCGCGUUGGAUUAGCUAGUUGGUGGGGUAAAGGCCUACCAAGGCGACGAUCCAUAGCUGGUCUGAGAGGAUGAUCAGCCACAUUGGGACUGAGACACGGCCCAAACUCCUACGGGAGGCAGCAGUGGGGAAUAUUGGACAAUGGGCGCAAGCCUGAUCCAGCCAUGCCGCGCGAGUGAUGAAGGCCUUAGGGUCGUAAAGCUCUUUCACCGAUGAAGAUAAUGACGGUAGUCGGAGAAGAAGCCCCGGCUAACUUCGUGCCAGCAGCCGCGGUAAUACGAAGGGGGCUAGCGUUGUUCGGAAUUACUGGGCGUAAAGCGCACGUAGGCGGAUAUUUAAGUCAGGGGUGAAAUCCCAGAGCUCAACUCUGGAACUGCCUUCGAUACUGGGUAUCUUGAGUAUGGAAGAGGUAAGUGGAAUUGCGAGU
rnacentral:rRNA from 1 species